GACGAACGCUGGCGGCGUGCCUAAUACAUGCAAGUAGAACGCUGGAGCGAGGAGCUUGCUCUUCUUGGAUGAGUUGCGAACGGGUGAGUAACGCGUAGGUAACCUGCCUUGUAGCGGGGGAUAACUAUUGGAAACGAUAGCUAAUACCGCAUAACAAUGGAUGACACAUGUCAUUUAUUUGAAAGGGGCAAUUGCUCCACUACAAGAUGGACCUGCGUUGUAUUAGCUAGUAGGUGAGGUAAUGGCUCACCUAGGCGACGAUACAUAGCCGACCUGAGAGGGUGAUCGGCCACACUGGGACUGAGACACGGCCCAGACUCCUACGGGAGGCAGCAGUAGGGAAUCUUCGGCAAUGGGGGCAACCCUGACCGAGCAACGCCGCGUGAGUGAAGAAGGUUUUCGGAUCGUAAAGCUCUGUUGUAAGUCAAGAACGGGUGUGAGAGUGGAAAGUUCACACUGUGACGGUAGCUUACCAGAAAGGGACGGCUAACUACGUG
rnacentral:rRNA from 1 species